UGGCGGCGUGCCUAAUACAUGCAAGUCGAACGGUCUUUCUAUGGAAGCUUGCUUCCACUGAGAAGAUAGUGGCGAACGGGUGAGUAACACGUGGGUAACCUGCCCAUAAGAGGGGGAGUAACAUCCGGAAACGGGUGCUAAUACCGCAUAGUUUCUUGAUCGCAUGAUCGGGAAAGGAAAGACGGCCUUUGUGCUGUCGCUUAUGGAUGGACCCGCGGCGUAUUAGUUAGUUGGUGAGGUAACGGCUCACCAAGACGAUGAUACGUAGCGACCCGAGAGGGUGAUCGGCCACAUUGGGACUGAGACACGGCCCAAACUCCUACGGGAGGCAGCAGUAGGGAAUCUUCCGCAAUGGACGAAAGUCUGACGGAGCCAACGCCGCGUGAGUGAUGACGGCCUUCGGGUUGUAAAGCUCUGUCUUCAGGGACGAUAAUGACGGUACCUGAGGAGGAAGCCACGGCUAACUACGUGCCAGCAGCAGC
rnacentral:rRNA from 1 species